rnacentral:rRNA from 1 species
UACGGAGGGUGCAAGCGUUAUCCGGAUUCACUGGGUUUAAAGGGUGCGUAGGUGGCUUGAUAAGUUGACUGUGAAAUACCGGGGCUUAACCUUGGAAUGUCAGUCAAGACUGUCAAGCUGGAGUAGGAUAGAGGGAAGUGGAAUUUCCGGUGUAGCGGUGAAAUGCGUAGAUAUCGGAAAGAACACCAAUGGCGAAGGCAACUUCCUGGGUCCAUACUGACACUGAGGCACGAAAGCGUGGGGAGCAAACAGG